rnacentral:rRNA from 1 species
CCUGGCUCAGAGCGAACGUUAGCGGCGCGCCUAACACAUGCAAGUCGCACGAGAAAGGGGGCAACCCCCGGUACAGUGGCGCACGGGUGAGUAACACGUAGAUGACCUUCCCUGGAGUGGUGGAUAACCUGCCGAAAGGCGGGCUAAUACAGCAUGGGACCACACGGUUUUGGCCGAGUGGUGAAAGCGGGCCUCUGUUCACAAGCUCGCGCUCUGGGAUGGAUCUGCGGCCCAUCAGCUAGUGUGAGGUAAUGGCUCACCAAGGCUACGACGGUAGCUGGUCUGAGAGGAUGAUCAGCCACACUGGAACUGAGACACGGUCCAGACUCCUACGGAGGCAGCAGUGGGGAAUCUUGCGCAAUGGGCGAAAGCCUGACGCAGCGACGCCGCGUGGGUGACGAAGGCCUCGGUGUAA